AGAUCACUCCCUCCGUCCUAUAAUAUAAGAGAUAAUGGGUGAUGUGACACAUUCUAGUACAGUGAAUCUGGAUAGACAUGUCAGAUUCAUUGUAUUAGGACAUAUCAUAUUCACCAAUUAGCCUUUAUAUCAGGGGACGGGGAGAGUACU
rnacentral:misc_RNA from 1 species